GAUGAACGCUGGCGGCGUGCCUUAUACAUGCAAGUCGAGUGGGUUUAGACCCACGGCAAACGGGUGAGUAACACGUAGGUACUUUCCUUGUCACAGGAAUAACCCUCCGAAAGGAGGGCUAAUACCUGAUGUGAUCGCAAGAUUAAAGGGUAUCCGCAAGGAUUACCGGACAAGAAGAGGCCUGCGGCCUAUCAGCUAGUUGGCGGGGUAAAUGCCCACCAAGGCUAUGACGGGUAGCUGGUCUUAUGAGGAUGAUCAGUCACAUGGGCACUGAGACACGGGCCCAACUCCUACGGGAGGCAGCAGUAGGGAAUUGUGCGCAUUGGGCGAAAGCCUGACGCAGCGACGCCGCGUGCGGGAUGAAGGCCUUCGGGUCGUAAACCGCUUUUAUAAGGGACGAACUUUGACGGUACCUUAUGAAUAAGAGGGUGCUAACUCGGUG
rnacentral:rRNA from 1 species